UCUCUCUCUCUCUCUCUCUCUUUGUCCGCUGUGACCAUGUGGGACCGACCAUUUCUCGACCUUUCGUGAAACGUGAGAUGCUGGGUAUUGGAGUUGGAACCAUGGGGUGAAGUGAAUGUCUGCUGCGUCGCCUGAAGGCAGGGUAGAGCUGCAGGCUGAUGGCAGCUCGAGGACCACUGAAGCCCUCCAGCAGACCAACAUUUGGGUGAUCUGGAUUAACAGACCAUUGGAGCUCUGCUAGACGAUCAAACCUAUUGUUCAAGUGAUCAUGUAAACAGCAGUAAUCUGAUUUUGAGAAACCAGAUUAACACACCUGGAUUUCUCCCAAUACUCCGAUGUCUUAAUGCAAGGAUACUUGUUAAUCUGAUUUAUGUAGUUCUGCUGUUAGAGUGGCCCAUGUUACAAAAACACUAAAUUAAACUGUAGAAAACUUCACUCUACUGUAGCUAUGUCUGUAGUCCAAAAGAAAUCUGAUAAUGGACUGGAGUGUCUAAACCAGGGUUUUUUUAAUUAUUGAAUUUCUUAAGUGGAUGUUAAACACAUCAGAUCUGAUUUUUAACGAUUAUCCCAUUACUCCAAGUUAUCGGAUUCUUCUGAUCAUGUAAAUGGGUUCAAUGUCUGCCUGACUUGUUUGCUCUAGAGACUGGCUGUGGUCCUGGAUAACUGGACCUCUAUCCGGAGACGCGUUGGUCUCGUCGACUCCAUUCCAGUGGAAAAGGUGCUGCCAUAACAUUAAUUAACUGCAUGCACUAGAAACUAUUUAGGAGGUCACAGGUGUUUGGAGAGCCUGCCAGGUUGUCAACAAGCUUAGUUAUUUCAGGAUUAAAAGUGCAUAUGGUACAGAUUCUAAAUGUUUGGAUUCUGUGUAAACGGAAUGCACUGAUUGGUAAAUCUCAAGAAAACAUACAAAAUUUUUAAACUGAGUUAAUGUGUUCCUUUUUUAAAUUGGAUUGUAGCAGCAUGUUUCCAAAAUGUUUGGAUAGGGACAACAGAAGACUUUAAGUGAGACUACAUAUUUCUGUGUAGCUAGACGAACAUUUUGGAUUUAGAGUAAUUUAGAUGAUGGAUCAUUUGGGGACUCUUCCCUCACGGAGAAUCUCAAACUGCAUUUCUGUUUUUUGAUGUUUGAUGUCUUCAGGUUGUCCUCAAAACUGCAUAAAUGUUUGAAUAAACUCAACAAAUUUAAA